GCAUGGUUUGCCUGGAAUCAGUUAUAACAGAUUGCGUUAUAAAUUCUCCAGUCAUGAUGGUCCAGUAUAUGACUUGUAUCUAUAAUGUCAUGGUUUAUUUUCUAUGGUAGCCUGAUUGGUCUUUAAGUGUUCCGGAUAGAUAUAGUAGUAGGCUGUCCUCUCUUCUGGUUGGUUUCAGAACAGCCAAAGAGCUCUCAGACCACACCCACUCCUGGAGAAAGAAGAGGGAAGAAUGCCAACAGCACUGACCUGUGUGGUGAUGCCAUUGUUGUGACAACAUCUUGGAUGGGUGAGUUAGCAGGCGGUAGUGAGGUGGAGAGGACUUACCUGGGGGAGAUGAGACCGUGGAAGACUCUCCUUCAACAGUACCUGGACCUCAGCCAGAGCCGCUGCUCAUAGUGAGGUACCCCUUCCUUUCAGUCUUCCUCUCUCAACACUCACAGGAGAGCGUGGCUCAUAAUCCACUUUACACAAGCAGAAUGCAUGUUGAAACGGCAUGCUUGCCAAAGAGAGAGAGGGUCGUCACUCAUCGUCAGCCUCAUAAGCAGUUCUUAGAAAAGAUUUAGACAUAAGCCUUUUGUCUUGGUGCUGUCUGCUGCGCUUGAUGCAGGGCCUACUUGAACAGAGCACUUAUCUCAAAAGAGCCCGUAUGGGUUAAUGGCACAAUUUAUUUCUUGAUGAUAUGGCUCUGUGACUGUCCCUCUCCUCUCCCAUAUCAUCCAGGUUCUGUUAUUGUAGGUUAUGGGGGGAGAGAAUGACACAGUGGAUUAUUUAGAGCAUGUUUUAAUCCAAUAAAUGAUUAUGAAGGGGUGAAGGGAUACUGUACUGUACUGCUGUAUAAUCUACAAUUAUAAUAGGUGGUAUUUGAUUGCG
rnacentral:lncRNA from 1 species